rnacentral:rRNA from 1 species
UGCAGUCGAGCGAACAGAUAAGGAGCUUGCUCCUUUGAAGUUAGCGGCGGACGGGUGAGUAACACGUGGGUAACCUACCUAUAAGACUGGGAUAACUUCGGGAAACCGGAGCUAAUACCGGAUAACAUUUAGAACCGCAUGGUUCUAAAGUGAAAGAUGGUUUUGCUAUCACUUAUAGAUGGACCCGCGCCGUAUUAGCUAGUUGGUAAGGUAACGGCUUACCAAGGCGACGAUACGUAGCCGACCUGAGAGGGUGAUCGGCCACACUGGAACUGAGACACGGUCCAGACUCCUACGGGAGGCAGCAGUAGGGAAUCUUCCGCAAUGGGCGAAAGCCUGACGGAGCAACGCCGCGUGAGUGAUGAAGGGUUUCGGCUCGUAAAACUCUGUUAUUAGGGAAGAACAAAUGUGUAAGUAACUGUGCACAUCUUGACGGUACCUAAUCAGAAAGCCACGGCUAACUACGUGCCAGCAGCCGCGGUAAUACGUAGGUGGCAAGCGUUAUCCGGAAUUAUUGGGCGUAAAGCGCGCGUAGGCGGUUUCUUAAGUCUGAUGUGAAAGCCCACGGCUCAACCGUGGAGGGUCAUUGGAAACUGGGAAACUUGAGUGCAGAAGAGGAAAGUGGAAUUCCAUGUGUAGCGGUGAAAUGCGCAGAGAUAUGGAGGAACACCAGUGGCGAAGGCGACUUUCUGGUCUGUAACUGACGCUGAUGUGCGAAAGCGUGGGGAUCAAACAGGAUUAGAUACCCUGGUAGUCCACGCCGUAAACGAUGAGUGCUAAGUGUUA